ACAAAUGAAGCAUUCAUAGGUCUGCGUGGGAAAGUGCACACGUGCACUGGGAAGCUGGUGAGAAUCCAGCACGGCCCCGCCACUGUGAGCGGCUAGGAAUCCGCAGCGAGCCACUGGGAAGUAUCGUUCCCGGGAAGGCGCGGCUACCUCCGAUGAUCCGCGAGUCAGGAGACCUGUCCACGCGGUCGCCCAAGA
rnacentral:ncRNA from 1 species